rnacentral:rRNA from 1 species
AACGAACGCUGGCGGCGUGCCUAACACAUGCAAGUCGUGCGAGAAAGUUCCUUCGGGAGCGAGUAAAGCGGCGCACGGGUGAGUAACACGUAGGUAACCUGCCCCCCAGUCUGGAACAACUAGAGGAAACUCUAGCUAAUGCCGGAUGAGACCACGAUCCCUUCGGGGGUUGCGGCCAAAGAUGGCCUCUACUUGUAAGCUAUCGCUGAGGGAUGGGCCUGCGGGCCAUUAGCUUGUUGGUGAGGUAACGGCUCACCAAGGCUGUGAUGGCUAGGCUGGUCUGAGAGGAUGACCAGCCACACUGGGACUGAGACACGGCCCAGACUCCUACGGGAGGCAGCAGUCGGGAAUAUUGCGCAAUGGGCGAAAGCCUGACGCAGCGACGCCGCGUGGGUGAU